UGCAAGUCGGACGCUGAUUUCACGGUAGCAAUAUCGUGAAGUUGGAGUGGCGUAAGGGUGCGUAACACGUGGGUAAUUUGCCGUGAAGUUUGGGAUAACUUGCUGAAAGGCGAGCUAAUACCGGAUGUGACUGAUGGGAGGCAUCUCCUGUCAUUUAAAGUUGGGGACCGUAAGGCCUGACGCUUCACGAUAAGCCCGCGGCCUAUCAGCUAGUUGGUGGGGUAACGGCUCACCAAGGCUAAGACGGGUAGCUGGUCUGAGAGGACGACCAGCCACACUGGAACUGAGACACGGUCCAGACACCUACGGGUGGCAGCAGUCGAGAAUUUUUCACAAUGGGCGAAAGCCUGAUGGAGCGACGCCGCGUGGGGGAUGAAGGGCUUCGGCCCGUAAACCCCUGUCAUUUGCGAACAAACCUUUUCAUUGAACAGAUGAAAAGCUGAUUGUAGCGAAAGAGGAAGGGACGGCUAACUCUGUGCCAGCAGCCGCGGUAAUACAGAGGUCCCAAGCGUUGUUCGGAUUCACUGGGCGUAAAGGGUGCGUAGGUGGUGGGGUAAGUUUGAUGUGAAAUCUCCGAGCUUAACUCGGAAAUGGCAUUGAAUACUACUCUGCUGGAGGGUCGGAGGGGAGACUGGAAUUUUCGGUGUAGCAGUGAAAUGCGUGGAUAUCGAAAGGAACACCAGUGGCGAAAGCGAGUCUCUGGACGACUCCUGACACUGAGGCACGAAAGCUAGGGGAGCAAACAGGAUUAGAUACCCUGGUAGUCCUAGCCGUAAACGGUGCACAUUUGCUGUAAGAGGAAU
rnacentral:rRNA from 1 species